UACGGAGGGUGCGAGCGUUGUUCGGAAUCAUUGGGCGUAAAGCGCGUGUAGGCGGCUUGGUAAGUCGGGUGUGAAAUCCCGGGGCCCAACCCCGGAACUGCAUUCGAAACUACCUCGCUAGAGUCCCGGAGAGGAAGGCGGAAUUCCCGGUGUAGAGGUGAAAUUCGUAGAUAUCGGGAGGAACACCAGCGGCGAAGGCGGCCUUCUGGACGGUGACUGACGCUGAGACGCGAAAGCGUGGGGAGCAAACAGG
rnacentral:rRNA from 1 species